CCCUUAGAUGUCCUGGGCCGCACGCGCGCUACACUGAUGCAUUCAAUGAGUCCUACCUUGGCCGAGAGGCCUGGGCAAUCUUUUGAACCUGCAUCGUGAUAGGGAUAGAUUAUUGCAAUUAUUAAUCUUGAACGAGGAAUUCCUAGUAAACGCAGAUCAUCAAUCUGCAUUGAUUACGUCCCUGCCCUUUGUACACACCGCCCGUCGCACCUACCGAUUGAAUGGUCCGGUGAAGCCUCGGGAUUGUGGCGAGUUCCCUUUAUUGGGAGUUUGUCGCGAGAACUUGUCUAAACCUUAUCAUUUAGAGGAAGGUGAAGUCGUAACA
rnacentral:rRNA from 1 species